rnacentral:lncRNA from 1 species
GAUCUGUCUGUGACAUCUCAGGCUAUAAACCUUCUCUUCCAAAAUUGCUUGUCCAAGGCUCCUUGCCUUCCGGCAUUUGAAGGAACAGAAGAGAGAUCUGAGCCUACACCCAGUCUCAUUCCUUGAGAGCGAUCCGGAUGCACUUGCCAAGUUGAUCCUCCACACCAUCAAUUCCACUGCUGUCGCUAUCCCCUGUGCCCUUUACUGCCCCUGGGGAGGACUAGAAUCUGCCUUCCACCACACCCUGACCUUGGGCACAGCCCCUCCCCACCUCCAGGUUUCCUGUUCUUGUCUUGUGGAGGCGGUGGUCCCGGGCGGUCCGGGCAUCAUCUUGAGACUGCCAGACAACUUGCUGAGAUUGUAUCCUGACUCUUGCAAUGAGCCGUUUUGGGGAGCCUUCUUCCUCUGAGUCAUCAGAAUGAUUUUGACUUUCUCUGGCUCUGCCGUAUUUUUCCACUAGUCCCAUAAAGGAAUCUGCCUUUCUCUGCUCGC